UGGGGAAUUUUGGACAAUGGGCGCAAGCCUGAUCCAGCCAUGCCGCGUGCGGGAAGAAGGCCUUCGGGUUGUAAACCGCUUUUGUCAGGGAAGAAAUCUUCUGAGUUAAUACCUCGGGAGGAUGACGGUACCUGAAGAAUAAGCACCGGCUAACUACGUGCCAGCAGCCGCGGUAAUACGUAGGGUGCAAGCGUUAAUCGGAAUUACUGGGCGUAAAGCGUGCGCAGGCGGUUUUGUAAGACAGAGGUGAAAUCCCCGGGCUCAACCUGGGAACUGCCUUUGUGACUGCAAGGCUUGAGUGCGGCAGAGGGGGAUGGAAUUCCGCGUGUAGCAGUGAAAUGCGUAGAUAUGCGGAGGAACACCGAUGGCGAAGGCAAUCCCCUGGGCCUGCACUGACGCUCAUGCACGAAAAGCGUGGGGAGCAAAACAGGAUUAGAUACCCUGGUAGUCCACGCCCUAAAACGAUGUCAAC
rnacentral:rRNA from 1 species